UCACGAACAGAUCCCCUGGAUCACGAACAGAUCCCCUGGAUCUCGAAAAGAUCCCCUGGAUCACGAGCAGAUCCCCUGGAUCACGAGCAGAUCCCCUGGAUCACGAACAGAUCCCCUGGAUCUCGAAAAGAUCCCCUGGAUCACGAGCAGAUCAUUGGAUCUACACUCUGCUUGGAAGGUGUGGAUGACUAAUGAAAGCUAAGCAACAUGGCGCCUCUGAAAUGAACAAAUUUUCCCCCGUUAAGCUGAGGAGGAACUUUCAUUUCUACAGGUAUGGCGGACCUUGGCAGUGUUCUACAAGGCCGAUGGCCUUCCCAGAGUUGGAAAUUUGCCCGUGGAACUUAUUUUCUUUGUGGUAGCUUCGACUAUAUGUUAACUUUGAGCAGAGAAACUCGCGCAUAUAGGAUUUGUUUUUUCCUGCGGAGUAAUAUUUUCACAGUAUUGUUUGAAGCGCAAGAGCGGGAGGAUUGGCAAGGCGUCGCUGUGUUUGAUGGAGGGGUGGUUGUGGAGGGGGGAUGGAGAGGUGAGGGAGAAUGUCGACCCAGUGACCUCAGUCUACAAAGGAAAGAUUUUUGAUACAUCGGAUAGAUUUUGUCAUCCGUUUGUGUGUGUUUUCCAGCGCAUUUGUGUCCAUUCAGUAACAAGAGGAGCAGAAGUAUGAGGGCUGAGGAAGCUAAAAGCGAGUGAAUCCAGCAACAGGCAGUUCAGAGGCAUAACUGGACCUCUGAAACCACACAUAAAUAAGUGCCUGUCAAUCCCCAAACUUACCUACUUCCUGAGAUGCUCCCUAGCCUUCAGGAGUCCGAAACUCAAGGAAUAUGACUACCUCCUUAAGACCAUGCUAGAGAGUGUAUUGAAUCUUUUCCUCGAAGAUGGACAAUGGUUGCAAGCCUCACUUCCCGUCAGGCUUGGGGUCUGGCAGUACGCAAAUCCUCCCAGAAUGCCCUACCAUCUUUCCUAUUCUCUUCCAUAGCAUCAAACGAGUUAAUAAAACAAAUUCUUCAGGACAACCUCAGUGACUCAACAGGAAUACAGGACCCUAGCUACGCCAGUGCCGUCACCGAAUGGGAGACUCUUGCUGCUCCAACACCAAAACCUAGUGCAGCACUGGCCUACAAACAGUCAAGUUGGGAUGGCCCCAUCGCUGAAAAGGUGCUUGACAACAAGCUUAGGGCUGUAACAUCAGACAGGAAAACUUCCCGUCUCCAAGCUGUGAUCGCACAUCACUCUGGAGUUUACCUGGAGAGAGUUCCGGGGGUCAACGCCCCCGUGGCCCGGUCUGUGACCAGGCCUCCUGGUGGAUCAGAGCCUGAUCAACCAGGCUGUUGCUGCUGGCUGCACGCAAACCAACGUACGAGCCACAGCCCGGCUGGUCAGGAACCGACUUUAGGUGCUUGUCCAGUGCCAGCUUGAAGACUGCCAGGGGUCUGUUGGUAAUCCCCCUUAUGUAUGCUGGGAGGCAGUUGAACAGUCUCGGGCCCCUGACACUUAUUGUCUCUUAACGUGCUAGUGACACCCCUGCUUUUCAUUGGGGGAUGUUGCAUCGUCUGCCAAGUCUUUUGCUUUCGUAGUGAGUAAUUUUCGUGUGCAAGUUCGGUACUAGUCCCUCUAGGAUUUUCCAGGUGUAUAUAAUCAUGUAUCUGUAUCUUUGGACUUCCUCCAAACAGUUCCCAUUUCGGCAAUGGGAACACGCCUCGACCCUAAGUAUUGCAGUGGCUCUCUGCCUUACUGCCCCGAUUCACAUGGAAUAGACGUGUCCUGUAGCUCGAUCGCUGGCGCUCUCAGCUCACACACUGAGGUCCGGAGAUCGAAUCCCCGGUAUGGCUGGAAAACAUUAGGACGUGUUUCCUUAAGACACCUGUUGUCCAUGUUCACCCAUCAGCAUAAAAUGGGUACCUGGGUGCUACUCGACUAAUGUGGGUCGCAUCCUGGGACAAAACUGACCUAAUUUGCUCAAAAUUCUCUGCAAAACAAGCGGC